ensembl:lncRNA
GAGAGAGAGAGAAGCUGUGGAAAUGAAUUGAAGACAGAGAGGAGAGGAGAGGAGAGAUGAAUUGAGAGAAGACUGGUAGAAACAUACAGGGAGAGAUAGACCCUUGAAACCCUUUAAACAGGAAAAAGAGAAGAGAAGAUUAGUGAAUUACGAGAGAAAAGUGAUAGAAGCAGAGGGAGAGAAAGGGUCUGUAGAAAUGAAGAGAUAGACAUAUGAAGAGAGAGAGUGAGAUGAAUAAAGAGAAAAAGAGAGGAUGUGGCUGAUGAAGACACAGAGCGAAAGAGACAGAAUGAAGAAAUGCAGACAGAGCAUCAAGGAGCAGAGAGAGAGAGAGAGAUCAGAGAGCGACAGAGAGAGAGAGAUCAGAGAGGAACACAGACAGAGCAUCGAGAAGCAGAGAGAGAGAGAGAUCAGAGAGGAACACAGACAGAGCAUCGAGGAGCAGAGAGAGAGAGAGAUCAGAGAAGAACACAGACAGACGAUCGAGGAGCAGAGAGAGAGAGAGAUCAGAGAGAAACACAGACAGAGCAUCGAGAAGCAGAGAGAGAGAGAGAUCAGAGCUAGGAGCAGACAGAGUGAGGAGUGGAGACAAAGUGUGGAGUGGAGGGAGAAUGAGGAGCAGAGCGAGGAGAGGAGGGAGAGCAGAGACAGAGAAAGAGUGAGGAGUGGAGGGAGAGCAGAGACAGAAGGAGGAGAGGAGGGAGAGCAGAGACAGAAGGAGGAGAGGAGGGAGAGCAGAGACAGAAGGAGGAGAGGAGGGAGAGCAGAGACAGAGGGAGGAGAGGAGGGAGAGCAGAGAAAGAAGUUAGGAGAGGAGGGAGAGCAGAGACAGAAGGAGGAGAGGAGGGAGAGCAGAGACAGAAGGAGGAGAGGAGGGAGAGCAGAGACAGAAGGAGGAGAGGAGGGAGAGCAGAGACAGAGGGAGGAGAGGAGGGAGAGCAGAGACAGAGAAAGAGUGAGGAGUGGAGGGAGAGCAGAGACAGAAGGAGGAGAGGAGGGAGAGCAGAGACAGAAGGAGGAGAGGAGGGAGAGCAGAGACAGAAGGAGGAGAGGAGGGAGAGCAGAGACAGAAGGAGGAGAGGAGGGAGAGCAGAGACAGAGAAAGAGUGAGGAGUGGAGGGAGAGCAGAGACAGAAGGAGGAGAGGAGGGAGAGCAGAGACAGAGUUAGGAGAGGAGGGAGAGCAGAGACAGAAGGAGAGGGAGGAG